UCGCGGCGAAAAGCUCAGUAACACGUGGUCAAACUACCCUGCAGACCGUGAUAACCUCGGGAAACUGAGGCUAAUAACGGAUACGCGUCCCCAGCUGGAAUGCGGGAACGCUCAAACGCUCCGGCGCUGCAGGAUGUGGCUGCGGCCGAUUAGGUAGACGGUGGGGUAACGGCCCACCGUGCCGAUAAUCGGUACGGGUUGUGAGAGCAAGAGCCCGGAGACGGAAUCUGAGACAAGAUUCCGGGCCCUACGGGGCGCAGCAGGCGCGAAACCUUUACACUGCACGCCAGUGCGAUAAGGGGACCCCGAGUGCGAGGGCAUACUAGCCCUCGCUUUUCUGGACCGCAAGAAGGUCCAGGAACAAGAGCUGGGCAAGACCGGUGCCAGCCGCCGCGGUAAUACCGGCAGCUCGAGUGAUGACCGAUCUUAUUGGGCCUAAAGCGUCCGUAGCUGGCCGCGCAAGUCCAUCGGGAAAUCCACUCGCUUAACGAGUGGGCGUCCGGUGGAAACUGUGCGGCUUGGGACAGGAAGGCUCGAGGGGUACGUCCGGGGUAGGAGUGAAAUCCUGUAAUCCUGGACGGACCGCCGAUGGCGAAAGCACCUCGAGAGGACUGCUCCGACAGUGAGGGACGAAAGCUGGGGUCUCGAACCGGAUUAGAUACCCGGGUAGUCCCAGCCGUAAACGAUGUUCACUAGGUGUGUCACUCGCUACGCGCGAGU
rnacentral:rRNA from 1 species